UAAAUAGGAAACCUUCUAGUACCUAGAUAUUUAUGUAGAAGUGUGUGGAAGGCUUUAGAUAUUUUGUAUCAAUGGCUAAGAUUUUGACACAUGUCAAAGAUCCAAUGGCCAUGUAGUCUUAUAAAUAAAGGCCCUUGCCUCACAGCUUGUGUAGUAGAGAAUAAGGAAGUGAAAAAGGUGGAGAACAAGGUGUGAGCAAGUGUAAGGCACCACAUUUUUGGACAAAAAUGACUUAAUCGGGAGCGACGAAGAGGCGUCACAGGAGGGGGUCAUUUGUCUCGUUUUGGUGCUUGAGCGUGCCGAGUAUAAUAACCUACAACUUGCAAGCAAGGAUUAUUCAUUCUCGGUGCUAGCUAGCUCAGCUCUACCGAGUUUCUUGUUUGCUGGUAAACUUAAUUAAUUGGACCCGAGAGGAUUAUGUUGAAGUAGUGAAUAUUAUCGGCAGCAUUUUCACAUUGCCAUUUGGAACACAUGGCUGAGUCCCUAGGGUUCAGAAAGAUUUCAAGAGAAAAUUCUAUAGCAUUAUUAGAUCCGCGGAAGAGCCAAACAACUUUUGAAAAUGUCCCCUGUCUUGCAUCCUUGUAGAGUUGCAAUAUCAAUAUCGAUCUACGGUUCGUGUUUU